rnacentral:lncRNA from 1 species
UACAAUUACUGAUACUGCGAUUUAGGCUGUCCAUUUAACCAACUCUAUAAUUGAAAAAGAGGAGAAGAAGAAAAAAAAACGUAAAAGAAUAGUGGCAAUGCUGUUAUGUCUAGAAGUUCACUCAAAGGGAGAGAACACAAGAAAUUUCCAUCUCCAUCGCAGAACCUAUUUCUUUGAUGGCAUAUCUACACUAAGUUCUAUAGUAAAGUGUUUUGAGUUCACACCUCUUUAGAGUUUCUGAAAAAUAAAAAUGCCACCUGGCUUUUUUUUAGAUCUCCUCUCUCAUAAGAAAGAAUUGCUAAAUAAUGAACUAAAAAUAAAACACUACGUGGAUGUUUGAUAACUGUUUUAUUUUAAUUUUUUUAUUUUUAUUUUGUUUAAUUUAUAAAUAAAAAUAGAAAACUUGUUUGUGUUGCAAAAAAUAAAUAAAAAUAAAGCAAAAUUAAUUGCACUAUUUUUGAAAAUAGUAAAAACAAGAAAAAGUUAUUUUUGUUUUGUUUACAAAAAAAUUUGGAUGAAUUUUUUUUGUAAAUUUUUCCAAUCACCUCAACCGCCUCCGCCUCCGCCUCCUUCACCACCACCACCACCGCCGCCGCCACCAUCUUUUUUUAAAAUAAUUUAAAAAUAGGUGAACACAAAUAUAUUUUUGUGUAAAAAUAAUUUAAAAAUAGGUGAACACAAACAUAUUUUUAGUUUCUGUUUUACAAAAAACAAAACAAAAGAAAAUAAAAAUUAAACAAAUACAAAAAAAAAUAGAAAAGUAAAAGUAAGAAAAGUUAUUUUUGUUUUGUUUAAAAAAAAAAAAUUCAUCCAAAUUUUUUCAAUCACCUCCGCCAUCACCUUCGCCACCACCAGCGCCACUUUCAUCUCCGCUACCAUCACCUCCUCCACCGCCACCGCUACUUUUUUUUUUAAAUAGUUUCAGAAAAUGUGAACACAAAUAUAUUUUUAUUUUUAAAUAUUUUAAAAAUAGGUGAACACAAACAUAUUUUUUAUUUUUAUUUUAUAAAAAACAAAACAAAACAAAAAUUAAAUAAACACAAAAAAUAGAAAAAUAAAAACGUUAUCAAACAUCCUCUACGUGUUCCAAACCAGUCAAAUCGCUACGCAUCCGAAUGACCCAUAGUCAAUUUCUAGGGUUUUCAUUUCAGCUGCAUACCCAUGGGUGAAUGGAUGAUCUAAGAGAUGUGAAUGGCUCGGGUUUUCAUUUCUCGGGGUUAUCGGCUUGAAUUUUUUGCUUUUUAUUAACCAGGUUAUUAGAUUUAUUUUGAUUGUCAUGUUUUUUAUUUCUUAUUUUCCAGCUGUGUAUUAUAACUGAGUUAUGUAUAUUUUGCUGAAAUGAAGAAAUGAACAACAUCUGAAAUGAAGAAAUGAACAACAUUAGAAGAAUAUGGAACAUGUUGAAUUUGUAGAGUCCAUGAGCCAGGUCCCUUUUCAUGGACUGGGGCUAGAUCCAUUUUCUCUGCUACUCAUUCUGCAGGUGGAGUUCACCAUAUAAAUAAAUAAUUAAGGCCCCGUUUGGCCCAAAAAAGUUUUUGAGAUAUUUUAGUUGCUUUGAUUUUUGAGAUUUUUUCGCUUCUAGUAAAUUUUUUUAAUCGUUUGAUCAAAAUUUUAUAUUUUGUUGUUCUUUUUAACGAGAAAAGUCUGAAAAUAUAAAAAUCUUUAUCUAAUUUAGAAAGAUGUUCACGAAAGUGAAAAAAGUAACACUUUUUUACUUGAUAAAUUAGCUAAAUUUUUAUCUUUUAAUAGAUUUCUUAUUCCAAAUUUAAACAAUCUUUUUUCAUUUUCGGAUUUUCUCGUCAAUAAGAAAAGAAAAAGUAUAUUUUUUUUCUUAAACAGAGAAAAAGUUCACAAAAAGAUGGAAAAAUUUCAAAAUCAAGCACCUAAAAAUCUAGAUUGUAUGAAUCUAUAAUAAAAACUGUUAAAACAAUUUUUAAUUAAAAAUAAUAUAUUUCUUCUUUUAAAAUGGAGAACUGGAUCGAAGAUUCUUAUAAGUAGCUUCGAACUUAUUUCAUCUAAUACCAUCAUACACAAAAAGUUACGUACAUGUUUGGCAAAAUUUUAAAGCAUCAACUUCUGCUUUUUAGUUUUAAAAUUUGUUUCAAAAUGUUUAAUAAAACUUCUGUUUAUGGAUUAAAAAUAAUUUAUAAAGCUAAAAAAGAGUUGAUUUUUGAAAGUUUUAUUUUAAAAAAUUUUAACUUCUAUUUUUAAGUAAAUAAUUUUAACAUAAGUUGAGCUAUUAUGCUAAACACACUCUAUACACAAUUUAUUGACUAUAGAACAACUAUACACACGUGAAUGUUACAUUUUCUAUUUCGUGCCAUCACAAACAAAAAUGGCAAUGUAUUCACAGUGAAGAGCAAAAACCGAGCUGAUUAUGUGCCCACAACAUAACUCUCUCUCUCUCUCCACUGAUGGAUUAGAAGAGAAGUUGAAGUUUGCACAAUUAGUGCGUCGCAACAGCAGCAAAGAGCUAAAGCCCAACCCAGACCAGCCAAAA